rnacentral:rRNA from 1 species
UACAGAGGGGGCAAGCGUUAUUCGGAAUUAUUGGGCGUAAAGGGCGCGUAGGCGGCUUGGCAAGUGGAUGGUGAAAUCCCUCGGCUUAACCGAGGAACUGCCAUCCAGACUGCUGCACUAGAGGAAGACAGAGGUACGCGGAACUUAGGGUGGAGCGGUGAAAUGCGUUGAUAUCCUAAGGAACACCGGUGGCGAAAGCGGCGUACUGGGUCUUAUCUGACGCUGAGGCACGAAAGCGAGGGGAGCGAACGGG